rnacentral:rRNA from 1 species
UACGGGGGGGGCAAGCGUUGUCCGGAGUUACUGGGCGUAAAGGGCAUGCAGGCGGUCCGACACGUUUUGUGUGACAGCGGGUGGCUUAACUACCCGAGGAUACGAAAGACGGUUGGACUUGAGGACUCGAGAGGGACACGGAAUUCCGGGUGGAGUGGUGAAAUGCGUAGAGAUCCGGAGGAACACCGAAGGCGAAGGCAGUGUCCUGGCGAGUGACUGACGCUGAGGUGCGAAAGCCAGGGGAGCGAACGGG